rnacentral:rRNA from 1 species
GAUGAACGCUGGCGGCGUGCCUAACACAUGCAAGUCGAACGGACUUUUCAUGAAGCCUAGCGAUUGGAAAGUUAGUGGCGGACGGGUGAGUAACGCGUGGGUAACCUGCCUUGUACUGGGGGACAACAGUUGGAAACGACUGCUAAUACCGCAUAAGCGCACAGCUUCGCAUGAAGCAGUGUGAAAAACUCCGGUGGUACAAGAUGGAUCCGCGUCUGAUUAGCUGGUUGGUGAGGUAACGGCCCACCAAGGCGACGAUCAGUAGCCGGCCUGAGAGGGUGAACGGCCACAUUGGGACUGAGACACGGCCCAAACUCCUACGGGAGGCAGCAGUGGGGAAUAUUGCACAAUGGGGGAAACCCUGAUGCAGCGACGCCGCGUGAGUGAUGAAGUAUUUCGGUAUGUAAAACUCUAUCAGCAGGGAAGAUAAUGACGGUACCUGACUAAGAAGCACCGGCUAAAUACGUG